UACAGAGGGUGCGAGCGUUAAUCGGAAUCAUUGGGCGUAAAGCGCACGUAGGCGGCGAAGCAAGUCGGGUGUGAAAGCCCUGGGCUCAACCCAGGAAGUGCAUUCGAAACUAUUUCGCUUGAAUCUCGGAGGGGGUCAGAGAAUUCCCGGUGUAGGGGUGAAAUUCGUAGAUAUCGGGAGGAAUACCAGUGGCGAAGGCGCUGACCUGGACGAAGAUUGACGCUGAGGUGCGAAAGCGCGGGGAGCAAACAGG
rnacentral:rRNA from 1 species